rnacentral:rRNA from 1 species
AAAGUCACGGCUAACUACGUGCCAGCAGCCGCGGUAAUACGUAGGUGACAAGCGUGUCCGGAUUUAUUGGGCGUAAAGCGAGCGCAGGCGGCUCUUUAAGUCUGAUGUGAAAGCCACGGCUUAACCGUGGAAGGUCAUUGGAAACUGGAGAGCUUGAAUGUAGAAGAGGAAAGUGAAUUCCAUGUGUAGCGGUGGAAUGCGUAGAUAUAUGGAGGAACACCAGUGGCGAAGGCGAUUUCUGGUCUAUUAUUGACGCUGAGGCUCGAAAGCGUGGGGAGCGAACAGGAUUAGAUACCUGGUAGUCCACGCCGUAAACGAUGAGUGCUAAGUGUUGGAGGGUUUCCGCCCUUCAGUGUGGAGCAAACGCAUUAAGCACUCCGCCUGGGGAUUACGGCCGCAAGGCUGAAACUCAAAAAAUUGACGGGGACCCGCACAAGCGGUGGAGCAUGUGGUUUAAUUCGAAGCAACGCGAAGACCUUACCAGCUCUUGACAUCUUCUGCCAACCCUAGAGAUAGGGCGUUCCCUUCGGGGACAAAUGACAGGUGGUGCAUGGUUGUCGUCAGCUCGUGUCGUGAGAUGUUGGGUUAAGUCCCGAACGAGCGCAACCCUUAUUGUUAGUUGCCAGCAUUUAGUUGGGCACUCUAGCGAGACUGCGGUGAUAAACCGGAGGAAGGCGGGGAUGACGUCAAAUCAUCAUGCCCCUUAUGAGCUGGGUACACACGUGCUACAAUGGAUGGUACAACGAGUUGCGAGACCGCGAGGUUUAGCUAAUCUCUAAAGCCAUUCUCAGUUCGGAUUGCAGGCUGCAACUCGCCUGCAUGAAGUCGGAAUCGCAGUAAUCGCGGAUCAGAAUGCCGCGGUGAAUUCGUUCCCGGGUCUUGCACUCACCGCCCG